GACGUAGGGCGCGAGCGUUGUCCGGAUUUAUUGGGCGUAAAGAGCUCGUAGGCGGCUUGUCGCGUCGUCCGUGAAAACUUGGGGCUCAACCCCAAGCUUGCGGUCGAUACGGGCAGGCUAGAGUUCGGUAGGGGAGACUGGAAUUCCUGGUGUAGCGGUGAAAUGCGCAGAUAUCAGGAGGAACACCGGUGGCGAAGGCGGGUCUCUGGGACGUGACUGACGCUGAGACGCGAAAGCGUGGGGAGCAAACAGG
rnacentral:rRNA from 1 species